UACGGAGGGGCCAGCGUUGUUCGGAAUCAUUGGGCGUAAAGGGCGCGUAGGCGGCCGAUCAAGUCGGAGGUGAAAUCCCUCGGCUCAACUGAGGAAUUGCCUCCGAUACUGUUCGGCUUGAGUCCUGGAGAGGGUAGUGGAAUUCCCAGUGUAGCGGUGAAAUGCGUAGAGACUGGGAAGAACACCAGUGGCGAAGGCGGCUACCUGGACAGGUACUGACGCUGAAGCGCG
rnacentral:rRNA from 1 species